AUAACAAUACAGGACUCUUUAGAGGCCGUGUAAUUGUAAUGAGUCCACUUGAAAUGCUUAAACUAGGAUCAAUUGGAGGGCAAGUCUGGUGCAGAGCGACUGACCUGUGCGUGCUGCAGCUAAAUCUCCACUAUCGCCUGCUGCUG